rnacentral:rRNA from 1 species
UACGAAGGGGGCUAGCGUUGCUCGGAUUGACUGGGCGUAAAGGGCGCGUAGGCGGUUCGUACAGUCAGACGUGAAAUUCCUGGGCUCAACCUGGGGGCUGCGUUUGAUACGUGCGGGCUUGAGUGCGGAAGAGGGUCGUGGAAUUCCCAGUGUAGAGGUGAAAUUCGUAGAUAUCAGGAGGAACACCGGUGGCGAAGGCGGCCGCCUGGACGAGCUACUGACGCUGAGACGGCGAAAGCGUGGGGAGCA